CUGUGCCUGGCUCCCUGUAUGCCACACAUGUAGCCCAGCCCAUGAAUGUGGUUUGCCUGCUGUGGGUGGCGUGCAAGGAGCCAAGCAUGC
rnacentral:pre_miRNA from 1 species